rnacentral:lncRNA from 1 species
AGUGCAAAACCGACAGUACACAUAAACAUUUCCCAGUCGGUAGACACACAACACACAUAUUACUCCUACAAUGUAAAGAUUUCCAUCAUGGUGGAUAAACGUGCUUUUCCAUGCUGUUGAGCUACAACUCUGGCCUACAACAACAGAAAUACAGCUUAUGUAAUAGUUACCAGCAAGGCCUCUAGACCCAUACUAACUGGGUUUGAAUCAAGGUCCCAUCCCUUGCUGACUGUAUCACCUUGGGAGGAGAUGGAAGAUGGAGAGCGGAGUGGAAGAAUGGGAAGAGGGCUUCGUGCCCGGUGCACAUUUGCCACCUAGUGACCAAACUGAAUGGUGUGCUUCUCACCUCAGCCUGGUAGCCUGACCUUGACUCCUGAGUUCCACGAUCGCUUCACAACUGCAAGUCACUAUCACACAAAAUUUGAGUUUCCCUAAGUCCGCGCCUUUGAGAGCUUUGGAACGAUAUGCAAGUUCAAGUCACCAUCCUGUUUCUUGCUACCUCCUGUGAGAAGACCAACAUUUGGGUUACUUGUUUCUACUCUUGUUCUUCUGCUUGUUAUUGUUGCCUCUGCAGCCAUUGAUCACACACGUGUU